AUGUUAUUUUCAUAUCUUGUUUUUUUUAACAGAGAAAGGGUCUGGAAGGACCCAGAGCAUCCAUUAACUAUCAGCGGAUGCAGUACAGAGCUCAUACCUGGACUCAAAAGAAAAGGAAAUUACAUCAUAGUCCCUGAAACUAAAAAGGAGGACCCCAUCCUGAUGAUUAAGAUUACAAUCGGGUCCAAUACUCAACUCCAGCGUAGAUCCAGUCCGGCCAUCACCGGGGACGUGACCACUUGGGAUCACAGGACCGCCACUACUCCAUCUCCGGACAAAGAUGGAAGAAGAGGACUCCAUGUUGAAGUUGAACAGCUGCCUCUCAAAUGGCAUCAAGCCAGGAGGAAGAAACGAAGCGGCUUCACCAGGCCGCCCUUCGGCCAGAAAGGUCACCGGGGAGGCGUCGGAGACCGGCAGCUCCAGUGGGCGCCGUAG
rnacentral:rRNA from 1 species